rnacentral:rRNA from 1 species
UUUAUGGAGAGUUUGAUCCUGGCUCAGGAUGAACGCUGGCGGCGUGCCUAAUACAUGCAAGUCGAGCGAACGGACGAGAAGCUUGCUUCUCUGAUGUUAGCGGCGGACGGGUGAGUAACACGUGGAUAACCUACCUAUAAGACUGGGAUAACUUCGGGAAACCGGAGCUAAUACCGGAUAAUAUUUUAAACCGCAUGGUUCAAAAGUGAAAGACGGUCUUGCUGUCACUUAUAGAUGGAUCC